rnacentral:rRNA from 1 species
AACGAACGCUAGCGGCAUGCCUAACACAUGCAAGUCGAACGAGAUCUUCGGGUCUAGUGGCGCACGGGUGCGUAACGCGUGGGAAUCUGCCCUUUGGUUCGGAAUAACAGUUGGAAACGACUGCUAAUACCGGAUGAUGACGAAAGUCCAAAGAUUUAUCGCCAGAGGAUGAGCCCGCGUAGGAUUAGCUAGUUGGUGGGGUAAAGGCGCACCAAGGCGACGAUCCUUAGCUGGUCUGAGAGGAUGAUCAGCCACACUGGGACUGAGACACGGCCCAGACUCCUACGGGAGGCAGCAGUGGGGAAUAUUGGACAAUGGGCGAAAGCCUGAUCCAGCAAUGCCGCGUGAGUGAUGAAGGCCUUAGGGUUGUAAAGCUCUUUUACCCGGGAUGAUAAUGACAGUACCGGGAGAAUAAGCUCCGGCUAACUCCGUGCCAGCAGCCGCAGUAAAAC